ensembl:snRNA U2 U2 spliceosomal RNA
AUCGCUUCUCGGCCUUUUGGCUAAGAUCAAGUGUAGUAUCUGUUCUUAUCAGUUUAAAAUUAUAUCUCAAAAUUUUUCAUACAGGCAAAGAGUAGAGAGAAUAAUAGAAGAAUGUUCAUAGGUCCAUCACUU